rnacentral:rRNA from 1 species
UACGGAGGGGGCUAGCGUUGUUCGGAAUUACUGGGCGUAAAGCGCGUGUAGGCGGCUUUGCAAGUCGGGUGUGAAAGCCCUCAGCUCAACUGAGGAAGUGCGCCCGAAACUGCAGAGCUUGAGUACCGGAGAGGGUGGCGGAAUUCCCCAAGUAGAGGUGAAAUUCGUAGAUAUGGGGAGGAACACCGGUGGCGAAGGCGGCCACCUGGACGGUCACUGACGCUGAGACGCGAAAGCGUGGGGAGCAAACAGG